rnacentral:lncRNA from 1 species
CCGCCUGCUCCAUCGGACCCGGCCUGGCGCGGCUCGCGGCGCUCGGCGGGCUCCCUUCCAUUCUAGAAUCUUCCCGCUUGCUUCCCAGCCCGCGUUCUUCCGCCUGCCUUUAAUUGUGUGUGGACGUGGGGAGGAUCUUCUAAGUCCCUCCAACGAAGGCAAGUGUGAGACUCUGGCCCUUUAUUUGUAAGAAGCAAGCCUUCAGAUUGCAGAAGUGUCGCGCGGGUCGCCGUGCGUUGCGCGAGUGGGAAGAUGGAGGAGGCCGGCACGCUGCUUUCGUGGACGCAAGUGAACCGGGCGUGAAGGCAGGGUGCGAGCUCUGCCCUUGGCCCAGCCCUGCGUGGGCGCCGUCCCAGAUUCCGGGCGGUGCGGGGUGCAGAGAUCUGGAGAGACUUGCGGGCUCCCCAGCGCAGGCUGCUCUGGGAUUUCGUUGGAAGAUCCGGCAGAGCCUUGGAGGAGAGGGCCCGGGAGGCUGUGUGUGCAGCGGAAACUUGUACGAAUGCCCCCACAGCGGAAAUGGUGCGCACGAGUAAUUUCUGCGGUGCACCCUUUUAAAAAUUGACAAGUGAACAAGAUCAAUUUUUUAAGAAAGCAAAGGUAGAAAACAAAAGGCGUGCGACUUCUUGACUGGCUUGUUCCCGCCUUUCUUCCUUCUCUAUACUCAGAUCAGAAACUUUUCUUUAAUUGCUCUUAUUCAGUGCGACAACUUUUAAUAAAAGCAUUUGCAUUUUAAGCCUGAGUUGCAACCAUAGAUUUAUUGCGAAGUGACAACGUGUCUAUGGAAUAUUUUCGCAGAUGAGACAGGACAUGCGCUCUAGUCGUGCCCAGAUUAAAGCGACGCUGGGCCAUGUGCCUGUGUAGUGCAGACUCGGAGGGGCACACACAUACUCGUCACCACAUGACCACUGUCUAUUAAUAUUGUCAUACCUAAACACUCGCAAAAACAAAAGUUGCUUUUCUUCCCUGUAAUUAAA